rnacentral:pre_miRNA from 1 species
GUAGUAUUUGGCAGAGGUGUAUGGAGUGAGAGAAGGGAAAAACGCCUUUCCCGAUCUCAUCGGUUCUUUCUUUCCUCUCUCAUUCCAUACAUCGUCUGACGAACGUAGC